AUUGAACGCUGGCGGCAGGCCUAACACAUGCAAGUCGAGCGAGCGGCGGCCGGGUGAGUAAUGUCUGGGAAACUGCCUGAUGGAGGGGGAUAACUACUGGAAACGGUAGCUAAUACCGCAUACCAUCAGAUGUGCCCAGAUGGGAUUAGCUAGUAGGUGGGGUAACGGCUCACCUAGGCGACGAUCCCUAGCUGGUCUGAGAGGAUGACCAGCAACACGGGAACGGAGACACGGUCCAGACUCUUACGGGAGGCAGAAGUGGGGAAUAUUGCACAAUGGGAGCAAGCCUGAUGCAGCCAUGCCGCGGGUGUGAAGAAGGCCUUUGGGUUGGAAAGAACUUUCAGCGGGGAGGCGUUACCCGCAGAAGAAGCACCGGCUAACUCCGUGCCAGCAGCAGCGGUAAUUC
rnacentral:rRNA from 1 species